CAAGGUGGAGCCACCCUGGGCUCAUAUAAGGGCCAGCCACUAGCUGCUUCCUGUGAAGGAGUGCUGCAUUGCCAGAGGGCUGCUUCAUCAGUUGGGCGUGUUACUGCUGUAUACCUUUCAAGACUGAUUCAGCACAUGACACAAGUGAAAAUAGGGGAAAGAAAGCAACCUAGUCAUACCUGGAGUGCUUUUUAAAAGGGGAUGCUGACUAUGGGAAGCAAUGGCAUGCUCAAAUCACAGCCCCUGAGGGAAUUCAUGAGGCAGUGGAGGAGGUGAAAAUAACCUCUAUAUUUGAAUACUACGAAAGUCAAGACAUCACAAAGUAGUGUAUUUCCUCUCUUGCAGAAGGAGCAUCAGUCUAAACACUGAAUAUCCUGGCUUUCAUGGUUUAUAAAAAGAAGAAAAUGGGAUCAAAACAUUAUUUAUUUACUUAUUUUGCCUUGGAGAUACAGCAGCAGCUUUGAUUUCCUUAAUUACACCCAUCAUGCUAGAAAGGUCAUAGUCCAAUUUUGGUUACUAUUCAGGAAGCAGAGAGAAUAACUUGGAGCUUGUUUUUCACCUGCUUUCACAAUCCAGCAAGGCUUCCUUCUUUCUUUUACCAGAACAGCUACAUCCUCCUGAGAUUUGACCAGCAUGCAACUAGUCAGUCAACAGGAAAUUAUUUACAGUUUAAUUUUUCAUCAUUUGUGAUAACAAAAAAUGCCUGAAGAGUUGUAUUCCAAGGACAACUCCCCCCCUUCCUCUCUGAGACAAAAUGGACCAUUUAACUCUGUUUCUGCCUGCUUUUUAUUUACAAAUAAACAGAACCAGGUUAAACUUUGCUGAACUUAUUUUGUUUGCUUUCCCACUCUAUAUGCAUGGGAAACCCUGAGCACAGCUCAAAAAUAAAACCACAGCAGACAUUUUACAGAUGACCUCUGCAUAUCUUAGGGACCACUGAAGAUUCGCAAGAUGAGAAACUGCUGAUCCCACAGCACAUUGCAACACUGUCCUUGGGAGCCAAUGAACUACAGGCUGCAAAGAUGCUAACCCUUUUGGCCUUAAUCCAGCAACAUAUUUAAGUAUGUGCUUAACAUUAAACACCUGAUUUGCCCUGUGGGCUUCAGAUGGAUUGCCCAUGGAUGGCAGCCAAAGUGCUCAGCACCAAGCCAAGUCUUCCAGGGGGAAGACUACGGAGAAUGUUCAUCUUCUCAGUGGUGAUGAGUAAGUGCUGAAGAUGCUUUGGUGCCAUUUGCUAAUUGCUGGCCUGAUUUAUUGCCUCCUGCGGCCGAGGGAAGGAUCGUUUUGGCCUUGAUGUAAUUAAGUAAUGCUCUGCAUGAUUAGCUAGCUAAAACUGUGACUUUUCAGGCUUUUCAAGUGAAAUUCUAUCAUUAGCUGUUAUAGAUCUGGAUCAUUCCAUUGUUUCACCAAUUUGCCCCUUCCCCAACUUAUCAACGGGUAAUGGAUGGUACCAAAGGACACUCUGUAGCCUUUCCAAAGGCAUCAUUGUAGUAAAAGACACUCAUCAACAUAAUUUCUUUUCUUGUUUUGGUUUCCUCAGUUCCUCUGAAACAAUACACCCAGCUUUGAAUAGCAGUAUGUUUGUAAACACUCUUUCAGAGUACUGUUAGGAGUAGUUCAUAGUUCAGUAGAAUCCUCCUUGCAUCUGGUUUUUCUUCUCAGGAUAUGACCACAAAUGUGAUUCACCCCCUGCUGAUUAUGUCAUUGUUUCAGCCAGCUGGUAAUUAGGGUUGGAAACCCUGGUGACUCUUCCUUCUCUGACAGCUGUGCAUUGGCUGAUGAUUUUGGUGAUGGGAAUAACUUCAGGAAUUCUUCUGGCAUGAACACACAUUGCCUUCCACCUAUCUUUCCCUUGAUGGACUGCAUUAUCACCUUUUUUUUUUCAUACAGAAGGGUAAGAGAUUGGUUGUUGCUUCCCAGUUUCAAAGCAAAGUCAGGGAUUUCUCUCCAGUGGCUCACUUCCACAGUGUUUGCCUGUAGGCCCCCAGGAAACGCUUGCUGGUUCCCAGCUGCUGUGUGGUUGCCAGGUGGGUCCACGUCCUGUCUGGUGGCCCUUGUCACUCAGUAAAAAUAAAUUUUACUCCCUCACCUUUUCAUCUGAAACAUGAGUACACCAGCUGUUUACACAGGCCAACAUCUCAGGUGUUGUGAGGAAUGAAGUCCUUGUCAAAGGCCCACUGGCAGCUCAGCUGAGGAAGCCCCUCUGCUUGUUGCUCCCGGCUUGUUACUAUGGGCAGAACUUCACAGCCCCAUGCAGCCAUCUCUGGAGAGGUUUUCAACCCAGAGGAUGGGCAAGGAGGCUGCAACCUCACCUGAAAUCCCUACUUCUGGGAGUGAAGCUGUCACUGCUUCAGUGCAUACUAAGCUGAUAGUUUCCUUGUUGUCCACACAGCCUACAUCCCUUGUGCCAGUGCCCAGAGAUGUACAGCCCAACCCUGCUCUGUGCCUAUGCCUGUGCAUGGAGGGGACUCCACCAAUGGAACACGCGUG